AGCGGGGAGGGCGGCGCGGGGCCCCGGCGGAGACGCGGAGGGCGGGCGAGCGGGGAGGGUCGCGGCGCGCUGGGGGCGGGCCCCAGGUGGGGAAAGGCGUCGGACCGCAGCCCAGGCUGCUGACGGCGGCGCGGGCGGCUCGACUGGGUUCACAAGGGGAGAAAGGGGCGGGGGCGGCCGGCGGGGAGCGGGACGUCUCCGGGGGCUGCGGGCGGCAGCACGGCCGCAGCCAGGCGGGGGCACGGCGCGGGCGGGUGCCGGGCCCUGUGAGCCCCUGGCGCCGCGUCGCGCCCGCCGGUGUCCGGGUGCGGAGCCCGCGUCGCGCUGCCGGCGGGCAGCCGCCCGGGACGCGCUGGGCCCCCUGUGGGCCUCUGAGUUCGGUUCGCCGAGGUUUUGUGGAGGUUUCCGCGGCGGAAGGCUGCUGCCCCGUAGUCCCGGAGCAGCCUGGUCUGACGGGCGGCGGCGGGGCGAUCCUGGCAGUUCUGGGGUCCGUGCUGCACCGGCCUCGCAGUCUCUUGGGAAGCGUUCCUUUCUCUCUGUUCUGAAACGGUGUCUGUAGGUUGGUGUCCCUUCUGCCUUAAGUGCUCGACAGUGUGCUGGUAGAGCCCUCUGGGCGUGACGUUUUGCUGGUGUUCUGUUUCGUUUUAAAGGAAACUUUUAAAUGACGAAAUCAGUUUUCUUGAUAGAUAUAGGGCUAUUCAGGGUUUCUAUUUCAAGGCACGUUUUUCAAGAAAUAUGUCCAUUUCAUCUAAGCUGUCAAAUCUGUUUGGUAGAAAGGUCGCAGCAUUCCCUUAUUAUCCAUUGAAUAUCUGUAGUCUUAGUGAUGUCCCCAGGGCCACUCCUCAUUGUGGUAACUUGUAGCUUCUUCCUGUUUUUCUGGAUCUGUCUCGUUAAGAGUUUAUCGACUUUAUUGACGUUUUGAAAUAACCAGCUUUGGUUUCAUUCUUUUUUCCUAUUGCUUGCCCAUUUUCUGUUUCUUUGAUUUCUGUUAUUUAUUAUUUUCUUUUUUCUGUUUAUGACCAGUUUAACUUGCAUUUUUCUAGCUUCUUAAAGUAGAAAGUUAGAAGGUUUAUUUUAAACCUUCUUUUCCAAUUUAAGCAUUUAAAGCAGUAAAUGUCCCUGUAAACACUGCCCAAGUUGCAUUCUAUGCAUUUUGAUAUUUUGUAUUUUAGUUUUCAUUUAGUUCAAAAUAUUUUCUCAUUUCUCUUGUGCUUUCUUCUUUGACUUGUGGUUUAUUUGGAAUUACAUCACUUAAUUCCCAGAUAUUUGGAGAUUUUCCACGUGUCUCUUUGUUCCUGGUUUGCAUGUGGUUGUCAUGGGGCUGGAGAAUGGUCUGUGAUUUCAGGCUCUGUGUAUGGCCCCACAUAUCGUCUGUCUUGGUGAAUAUCUCAAGUGCGCUUGAAAAGAACAUGUGACCCUGAGCAGGUCGGGUAACUUGCUCUGAACUUGAGGUUCCUUGUCUGCCAGAUGCCCUUCUUCCCUGUGGAUAGGAGGGCAGUUGGGAGCUUUGGGGUGUGGUUAGUUCCUGGCUCUGCAGACAACAUGCGCUGUCUCUUGACCUUGCAGAUGGCGUGUGAGGCCGAGCGCGGUCCCUGGGGUGUGUUUGAGUGCCAGCUCUGUGCCUUCACGGCUCCGUACAGCUACGUGGGGCAGCAGCCCCCUGACACCCAGUCUGUUGUGUGAGUACUGGGGUCCCAGCGGCCCGGGGAGCCCACCAGAGCUGGCUGGCCCGCGUCUGACACGGCCUGGGCGUUGUGUCUGGGCCCACCUCGCCCAGGCUCUGGGCGCUUCAGGUGUGACCCGAGAAGGCACAGGGCAAGGUUUGAGGGCCAUCUGGCUCUUGGAGAACCUCGCAGUCCCUAGCCCCCCUUCCGCCCAGAGUCCGGCACCUGCUCCAGAUGUGGGGCGGGUCGGCAGCGGCACCGCAGGGAGCGCAGGGGCCGCCUCAUCCGGGGCUGGGCCUCCUCGCUCUUCAGCUGGUUCCCCGGAAGACAGCUUCUCGGCAGGAAGCCGCCUGCCUUGCGGCUCCUAUACUGGUGGGAGUGCGCCCUGAGAACCAGCUUCCCGUGCAUCCGCGCGUGGAGGGCCUAGAGUAGAGCCACUGGGUCCCGGGGCUGGAUUCUUGACCUUCAGCUUGUCCACCAUCAGGUGCCACCUUGUGGGGAUCUGACCAGUACGUUAGUGGGACAGGCAGCGGGGGCCAGCCUUCUUUCUUCUGGCCAUGAGGAAUCUGGGGUGUUGGUCUCCUUUCUGAUGUGCGCUGGGAGGCCAGCACUUUACCCAGAGUAAGGUGUCCUGUUCUCUCUGCGUGGGAGUGGGCGUCAUCCUGGAGGGGAGGGGAGGGCUUGGAGAGCUCGGAUGGAGGCCCUGUGUCCGGCCCCGCCCCCUGUCCUCCUGAGUCAGGCUGGGGUCUGGGGGCUGAGUUGGGUUCUUUGGGCCGAGGAGGAGCGGUUCUCUCCCUCAGUUGUCAUGGAGCCCAGAGCAGGUCUCAUUUCAGUCCUAGUCUGGAGCCAUUGCUUGCCUCUCUGCUACUGCUUGGUGGCACAGGGGGCCCGCCCUCCCCACAGUGAGCACGCACAGUGCAGGCCCUGGGGAGGUCCGUGCAGCUGGCGAGCUUCCGUCAGCAGAGGUCUGGGCCACUGCACCCCUGGCACCACUUCCUGUCCGCAGCCUCCUGGAGGAGAGCUACGUCAUGAGGGACCCCUUCACCCCCGACAAGGACAGAUUCCUGGUCCUCGGCUCGAGAUGCAGCUUAUGCGGCAGGCUGGUGUGUGUGGGCCCGGUGGGUAAGCCACGUGCGGCUGGGGCCGCCUUCCCUCCCUCCCUGUGGCUGGGACCUCCUGUGUGUGAUCGUGGGAGAGGUGACACAUGAGCCUUUCCCAGGGACAUUGAAUGCAGUUUAUUUUACUCCAAGAGAUUUUGCCUCUCCUGUGUCCGGGAGAACAUUGAUGCUUUCCCUCAGGAAAUUCAGCAAGACUUGGAGAAAAGGAAAGUCCCAUCCAAGAGGCAUGCCAGCCAG